rnacentral:rRNA from 1 species
AGUCCCCUACGGGGGGCAGCAGUAGGGAAUAUUGCUCAAUGGGGGAAACCCUGAAGCAGCAACGCCGCGUGGAGGAUGAAGGUUUUCGGAUUGUAAAGUUCUGUCCUUAUCGAAGAGAGGGUAUAGAGUGAAAAAUGAUAUACUAGGACGGUAGAUGAGGAGGAAGCCCCGGCUAACUACGUGCCAGCAGCCGCGGUAAUACGUAGGGGGCGAGCGUUGUCCGGAAUCACUGGGCGUAAAGGGCGUGUAGGCGGUAAUAUAAGUCAGAUGUGAAAGGUGGGGGCUCAACCCCUAGAGUGCAACUG